AUUUGGUCCUAGUGCAGUGGUGUUUGCAAAUAAUUGAUCACAACCAGUUAUAGAUUCCUUUGUUCCUUCUCCAGUCCCACUGCUUCACUUGACCAGCCUAAA
rnacentral:Y_RNA from 1 species